AACGAACGCUGGCGGCAGGCUUAACACAUGCAAGUCGAGCGCCCGCCAAGGGAGGGGUCGGACGUGCGAGUAACGCGUGGCAACGUACCUUAUUCUUCGGGGUAAUCCCGGGAAACGGGAGUGAAUACGGAAGGUGCCUUUUGGGGAAAAGAUUUAACGGCUAAGGGUGGGCCCGGGUUGGAUUAGCAAGUUGGUGGGUUAAAGGCCUCCCAGGGGGACGAUCCAUAGCGGGUCUGAGAGGAAGAGCAGCCACAUUGGGACUGGGACACGGCCCAAACUCCUACGGGAGGCAGCAGAGGGGAAUAUUGGAAAAUGGGCGCAAGGCUGAACCAGCCAGGCCGCGUGAGUGAUGAAGGCCUUAGGGUUGUGAAGCUCUUUCACCGGAGAAGAUAAUGACGGUAUCCGGAGAAGAAGCCCCGGCUAACUUCGUG
rnacentral:rRNA from 1 species